CCCUAAAUCCUCAACAUGUUUGAGUGCUGUUUUUUUUUUUAAUUUAUUUUUUGUCUGAUACACGCCCUUGGAUGAGUUCAGUGAAUGGCCAUUGGCCAGUCUCUUCUGAACCAACCAGAGUGUACUCUUACUCUUACCCAACACCCAACGAAGCACUUGCAGUUUCAGUUUCAGUGUUGAGGAAGAAGAAAAGAUGGAGUGGUGGAUGUCAAUGCCAAAGGUGGAACUCCAUGCUCACCUCAAUGGAUCCAUCAGAGGCUCCACUCUCCUAGAACUCGCUAGAGCUUUGUGGGACAAGGGUCUAAUAGAUUUUUCCCAAGUGGAGCAUGUUAUCCUUAAAAAUGAUCACAUGACUGUUACAAGAAUUGCGAAUGAAGUUGUUGAAGAUUUCGCAUCAGAAAAGGUUGUCUAUCUCGAAUUGAGAACCACCCCAAAGAAAAACGAUUCCCAAGGAAUGAGCAAACGUUCUUAUGUUGAAGCUGUAUUGGAAGGGAUAAGAUUUGUCAGCUCGGUUGAUGUGGCUUUAAUUCCUUAUACUGAGGAUCCUAGAAAUCUUUUAGAAUCUCCAGCUACAAAUGAUAAAUGUGAUGGAAAUAGUAGGAAGAAAAUCUUUGUUAGGCUUCUCUUGAGUGCUGAUCGUAGGGAGACAACAUAAGCAACUAUGGAAACUGUCAAACUGGCACUGGAAAUGAGGCAUUUGGGGGUGGUUGGAAUUGACCUAUCUGGGAAUCUAAAGGUUGGCGAAUGGUUCCUAAUUCAAAGGAGAUACAAGACAUGCUCGAUUUUGUUCCCCAUAAUCGGACAUGCUUGUUUCUUUAAGGAGGAACACUGGAGAAAGUUGAAGUCUACUAACAUUUCCGGUUGAAAUUUAUUUGCUUGCUCACGUCCAUUGCUGCAACACAGGCAAGCAGCUUUGAAUAGCGUGAAAGGCUCACUUGGAGAUUAACUAGCAUUUAGAUCCGUCGUGAUUCCCCCUCCAUUCUAUGAAAUUUAAUGAAUUAAUAACAAAAGACUGAAAAUAUUGGCAAAACAUAGGCCAAAUAUCUAUUAAUAUAUAAUAAGAAUAUAGUUGUGGUAUUUGCUCGACAAGUGGAGUGUUCUGUGUUUGCCACGUGGAGCUGUGUAUGAUUGACAAGUGACUUUCAAGAAGAGAAUAUGAGAGAGAGAGUUGCCAGUUCUGAUAGGGGGAGUAGUUGGCACCAGACUUCCUCUUUCAAUGUCGCAGAGAAGAGAAGAAGAAAAGGUCGGUGAAGAAAUAAAGCACGACGGAAGAAGUGGUGGGUGGCAAUGACAACGACGGUCACAGAGAAAGAUGCUAGAUCGACAGAGAAAAGACCUACAGAAUAAUUAAACCAAAUAUAUAUUAAUAUUUUUAUAAAUAAAUUAUACAUAAAUACAGUAAAAUAGAUUAUGUACACGACUCAGAUGUAGCCCAGACUUUACAAUAGUUUAAUAUCGACUGUGCUAUAGGCAUUGAUUUAUUGU